UACGGAGGGUGCGAGCGUUAAUCGGAAUUACUGGGCGUAAAGCGUGCGCAGGCGGUUUGUUAAGCGAGAUGUGAAAGCCCCGGGCUCAACCUGGGAACCGCAUUUCGAACUGGCAAACUAGAGUCUUGUAGAGGGGGGUAGAAUUCCAGGUGUAGCGGUGAAAUGCGUAGAGAUCUGGAGGAAUACCGGUGGCGAAGGCGGCCCCCUGGGCCUGUACUGACGCUCAUGCACGAAAGCGUGGGGAGCAAACAGG
rnacentral:rRNA from 1 species